UGCCUUUUUUGUUCUUUCCCCCGAUAAUCAGUGGGCUUGUGACGUCUUUCCAAUUGUUAAGUUCAAUCCUGAUGUUUAUGGAAUUUACAGUUGACUAAUAGCUUCAACAUCCCAGUUUUCUCCUACAACCCAAAGUAGAUGAAAGUAGAAUUUUCCUGAAAUUAUACCAAUGAAUCCAUACAGAGCUUGUGGUCAUGCUUGUGAGACUGCAAGAACCCAUGAUGCUUGGUGUUCUUCAACUUUAAAAAGACUUUAAGAAACCUCACCCAAAAUAGAUGAAAAUUUGAAUUUUCCUGAAAUUAUGCCAUUCAAUGCUUUUAUGAAUGGUGCUUGUGAUCAUGUCUGAAAAUAACUAAAUUUGUCAGGAAAGUGAGACUGCAAGAAGUCAAGACCCUUGGUGAUAUUCAACUUUAAAGACGCUUAAAGAAGUUUCACCAUUGAGCUUGAAGGUUUGCCAGAGAUCAGUGAGUCCCUUCUACUCAUUUUAUUUCUGUGUUGGCCCCAGAUCACUCUGCUUUGGGUUCUAACACUGCAUUGAUGGCUGGUUCAGAUACGAGAAGGCAGAUUUCAAACUCUUGAUCAAUGCCUUGUCCAUGAGUAUAGAAUGUCUGUUCAAGGAUUUUAUGGACAGAUUUUCAAUGACUUUCGUGAGGUACUAAGUUUCUUUAUUUCCUAGUGAAUAUAGAAACUUUCUUGAUCUUUUCAUUCUAUUUAUGUCCCUUUUUUUAUUAGGGGGUCCGAGCACGAAUGGUGGAAAAGGACUAUGCACCUAAGGUAUCAGUAGUGUACAUUAUUUUCCAAUACGUUGGAGGGUGAUGAUAUUUCCAUGGGGGUUGUGACAAUCCAAUAAAAAGUUCCACUUUUCAAUGCCUAAAAAUGGCUGUUAAUGAGAAAAUGCAUUAGUUGGGGUUCUCACAAUCACUGAAUUAUCAUAAUCCUCUGCCACUAGGUUAUCAAAACCAUGUUGGUGAUAUUGCUACGCUGCUUAUCAUGUGCAAUUAGCUAUCAAGCAGUUUGGAUAGUAAGAUUCUCGUCAUUUUUAUACAUGCAGAGGAACCCCCCUAGCUUGGAACAAGUAUCCAAUGACAUGGUGGAUCAGUAUUUUUUCACCUAUUAGUGAGCUGGAGCCAGAACUAGAGAUGCCAACAAGAAAGGAAGAAGCAUUUACCCAGAUGGCCAAAAAAAAAAAUUUUGUUAUCUGAUUUGAGUGACUUGAGAAGCAGGGAAAUGUGGAUGCAAUAUCACAUGCUAGCCCGCCCUUUGGGAAAAUUGGUUAUGCUUGCAUUACACAGGUUUACUUUGUUUAUGCAAUGACAAGCUAGAGAUUCCUAAUACCAAUGUUUUUUUUGUCCCCUGGAAACUCUUCCUACGAGAAACAACAGAAAUUGUCUCUGGAGAAAAACCAGGCAAACACAAGCGUCAAUAAGCUUCUAUGAAGUGCAGUCUUUCAAGUUUUGGGUUGUCUGCUUUGGAAUUUUCUGGGUUAAUGUAAUGGAUCCCUUGUAAUAGAACAUGAUUUUAUUUUAAUGGGUCAUUCUAGGGCACAGUUGAAAACAUUAUAUUGCCCUUCUCUGCAGUAUAGGCUAUUUGAAACAAAGAUUGGUUUUCCUAUUUUAAUUUAACUACCUAUUGUAACUUUUCAAUUGAAAAUUUGAAUUAUCAUUCAAGUUGAAGAUCCAUCAUUUUCCUUCUUUGUCAUAAAUAUUAAGACAAUUUGACUGUGAUGAAUACCUGUUUAAAGUACAGUCAUUUCAUACAUUAUUCGUAUUAAAGAAUGUAGGUAACAAUUAUUUGGCUUUUCAAAAUUUAUGGACCAGAACACUUUUGGCCCGGAUAAAUAUCAAAAAAUAAGAUAUGGCUUACACUAUGAAUGUAGGGACGUGUUCCUCAAAGUCACAGCAGAAUCCUAACUAUUUUCAGCUGCCUUAUUGGCCUUGUAGGUGUUCACUAAUUGCAGCUGCACAUCUUGAGAAACCGGUGAAUGCUCUUUGUAUUCCAUUGUGAAUUCACCUUUCCCCUGCACAUAGAGGAUCAAAUAACAUAUAUUUUAACAUAUUCUGCAGAGCAACUCCAGCUAUGGCAUAGCCCUUAUAAAAUGAUACUUAGUUUUACCUGAGUCAUUGAACGAAGUGAUGUUGAGUACCCAAACAUAUUGUUUAGAGGGACCUGUGAAGCAGAAAAUGAUUCCACAAAUAAUUACUUACAAUAAAACUGAUGCAAACCAAUAGUACUGCUAAUACUGACGAUUGAAGCAAGCUUGACAAGGUGAUUCUUAGAACCCUGAGUCUCUUCCAUACAAUUCCAAUGCUUUCUGAUUAACUACUCUUCAAUUUUAUUUUAUUUUUUUGACAGGCAAAUAAAAUAAAUGUAUUAACAAAAAACACCUACCAAAAGUGCUCCAAGGUACACAAGUCAUAACUAGUGACGCCAAAAAGCAAAAACACAAAAGAGCAAGAAAAACAAAAAUCCCUUCAUGAAAACCCUAACCAAUCUAUAAACUCUUAACAUGGUUAGGGAUCAUCUAUGUACAAUCUACAAUCUAUCCCACAACAAAAGGCUAUAAAGACAUGUGAUUAGCGCUUGAUUAGGCAUUUUUUUUGCUUUCAAAUGAUCUCCAAUUCCUUCCCUUACAUAAUGUCCAAAAUGUACACAAUGGGACAAACCUCUAGACCUUUCAUUUUUUGUCCAAAAUGUACCAGGACACCCUAAAAGUGUUUCUCUUACUGAACUUGCCAUCACCCACACAACCCAAAACAAGGAAAACACCAAAUUCCAUAACACCCUACCUCCCCAUACAAUGUAGAAAGAUGUGAUCUAUAGACUCUUCAUCUUCCUUACAAAGAAAAUAUUGAGUCACCAAUAAGACCAUCCUUUCCUAGGCAAUUGAUCUAGAGAAAUUUUUCCAACAAGCUUGGCACACUUCCACUCUUUAAUGCCUCAGCAAAGUGUAGCAGGAUUUAACUGAAAACUUAUUCUUCCUUGCAUCCAUCCAUUCCAUUUUAUUUUCCUCAUCCCUUCUCACAAUCUUCCCUUUAAGGCUCGAGAGAAAGGCCUUAACCUAUCCAUCACCCCAAUCAUUCAAGGGCUCCAACGCCCUCCCUCACCCUGCUGAUCCCAUACACUGUUGUCAAAAGCAAAAGGCCAUAUCAAGGCAAUAAGACUCCUUUUAACCUAAGGAGAAAGGCGAAAAACAAGGCGAUAGCUUAACUAUAGUAAGGCGAUAAAAAAUAUAUAUAUAUUUACCUAUUCGAUAUUCAACCAAUAUAAGUGUUGUCUCCAACAAUCAACACUAUUAAUUUUUCAUCACUUACAAUGUCUUAUAAAAUUAACAAUAUAGUAAUAAUUAUUGAAAGUGCUAAAUAUUAUACCCCAUAUUAUAAAAUAAAAAAAUCAUAUUGUUUAAAAAUAUUCAUCCUAUCUAAAUGUAUAUUCUAAUUUUUCAAACAUCUAAAAAGCAAAAUAAAAAAUAAAAUAAGAGAUUGAACAUUCUAGAGAAGCUUUAGGCAUCAUCAUCAUAGUCAUUAUUGAAAUUAAAAUUGUCAUUACUUCCAUCAAGACUAGAUUGAUAACCCUCCAUCUUGUUAUCUCUAUGAUUAAUAAUAUAAUAUUUUAUCUCAUACUUUGUUUAAUCUUAUGCUAGAUUGAAUGAAAUUAUAAUCUACAUAUGUUUAAUCUUAGUUCAUGGUCAAAGGCGACCACCUCUAUGCCUUGUGCCUUAUCCCAAGGUGAUUGCCUAGGCAUUAUCUCUUUGAAGUCGUAUUGCCUAGGUCUUCAGAAGACGACUUUUAUCUACCCUACCUGGCCUGAUGGCCUAGGCGAUCGCCUUUGAUAACAUCGCCCAUACAUCAGCCACCCAAGCAUCCUUUCUCAAAGUUAUGAAAUACAAAAUAGGGAAGAGACACUCUUAGAGUAGAAUCACUACACCAUCUAGCUUUCUAGAUUUUCAACCAUCUUCCAUUGCCCACCUGAAUGAGGUUCAGCUAUUAAAAUUCCCCAACCUCUCCUUAUGGCUUUCCACAACCCAAUGUCAAAACCACACCUACUAUUUGGGAACCCUCCUCCCCAUACUUCUCAACAAUAACCCGCUUCCAAAGGGACCCAUUCUCUGAGGCAAACCUCUAGAUGCACUUGCCUAGCAACGCCUUGUUGGUUUGUUGGUAGCUUUCUAAUACCAAGACCUCUAUUACAUUCCUCUCUCAAAGUGAUCUCCUAUCUCACCAAGUGCGGUUUUUUCUAUAAUGAACCUACCCCACAAAAAGUACCUUGAGAUCUUCUCAAUCCUUGAACUAACCUUCUUGGGCAAGACAAUAGAGACAUAGUAAAUGGGCAAGUUUGACAAAGUGCUCUUGAUGAGAGUAAGUCUCCCUAAUGUAGGACAACCUAGGAUAGUUGCCUACAAUCAAAUAGGUGGGCUAGGGUUUUUAUUUUUAGGGUGUAAGGAGAGAAACAAUGAAUAAAGUUUAUGGUAGAGAAAAAUAAAAUAAAAGAAAUGGAAAGAAAGAAGAUACGACAAAAAAGAGGUAAGAGUCUCAUUAAGGCCUUGUAGGAGUCUCACCUAGAAGAAAAUCAAUGAAUCACUAUUGAGGAUUGCAACCGUUGCAAUAAAAAAAAUAUUAUUAACAUCAGUCAAUUCAUUACCUUGAUUUAUAUUGAUUACCCUUAUUUAUAGGCUUCUCUAAGUAGUAGCCCCUACUCAGAAUGCUUUUGUGAUGGGACGGCAAAUCCUUGAUGCUUCUCUUAUUGCAAAUGAGGUGAUAGACUCAUGGCAGAAAAGAAAAGAGAAAGGGCUCAUUUGCAAGUUGGAUAUUGAGAAAGCGUAUGACAGCAUUACUUGGAAGUUCUUGCUGAAGACUCUUCACAAAAUGGGUUUUGGUCCAAGGUGGGUGGGGUGGAUGAGGAGUUGUAUCUCUACAGCCAAGUUCUCAGUUCUUAUUAAUGGGGUUCCAGCUGGUUUCUUCCCGAGUUCUAAAGGGCUUCGUCAAGGAGAUCCAUUGUCUCCCUAUCUCUUCGUCUUGGGAAUGGAAGUGCUAGAUGCCUUGAUUAGGAGGGCGGUUGCGGGGGGAUACCUUUCAGGGUGCAGCAUUAAGGGUGAUAGGAGGCACACUCUAAAAAUCUCCCAUCUUUUCUUUGCUGAUGAUACAAUUGUGUUCUGUGAGGCUAACAAAGAGCAUCUAACAUACUUGAGUUGGAUUCUCUUGUGGUUUGAAGCAGCCUCAGGCCUAAGGAUCAAUUUGGACUAAAGUGAAAUCAUCCCAGUUGGUGAAGUGGAGGGGAUUGAGGCGAUGGCAGUGGAAUUAGGAUGUAGGGUGGGAUCUCUUCCGUCUCAUUACUUGGGAUUGCCAUUAGGGGCUCCGCAUAAAGCCUCCUCAGUUUGGGAUGGGGUGGAGGAGAAAGUGAGAAGGAGACUAGCACGGUGGAAACGUCAAUAUAUUUCAAAAGGGGGGAGAAUCACUCUUAUUAGAAGCGUUUUGGCUAGCAUACCAAUCUAUCACAUGUCUCUGUUCAGAAUGCCUAAGGCAGUGGCCAGGAGAUUAGAUAAAGUCCAAAGAGAUUUCCUAUGGGGAGGGGGAAGUGAGGUAAAGAAAGCUCAUCUAAUCAAGUGGGAGGCGAUUUGUGAGGCUAAAAGCAAUGGAGGGUUAGGCUUAAGGAAGUUGGUGCUCCUGAACAAAGCUCUACUUGGCAAAUGGGUAUGGAGACUUGCUAUUGAUAGAGAUGAUCUAUGGAAGCAAGUGAUAAUAGAGAAAUAUGGGCAAGAGGGACAUGGAUGGAGAGCAAAGAAGGCUAUUGGGACUAUCGGCGUGGGGGUUUGGAAGGAAAUAUGGAAGGAAUCUGAUUGGUGUUGGGAUAACAUGGGGUUCAUAGUUGGGAAAGGAAACAAAAUCAAUUUUUGGACUGAUGCUUGGUGUGAAGAUACAAGGCUGUCCCAAAGAUUCCCCCACCUAUAUGCUAUGGCUGCGCAUAGGGAUGCGACUGUGGAGGAGAUGUGGGAUCAGAAUUUCGGCCAAGGGGGGUGGAAUCUAAGAUUUUUGAGGGACUUUAAUGAUUGGGAGCUGGAGAUGAUAGGGAACUUAUUGCAUGUUCUGAGGAGUUACAAGCCUUCUAUGGAGGAAGAUUCAGUCCGUUGGAAGGGAGGAAGGAAUGGUAAAUUUAGGGUGAAAGAAGCCUAUAGAGUGGUGACCAGACCAAAUGAUAUUGGGUUUCCUUCUAGAAGUAUUUGGGUGGAUUCAGUUCCAACCAAGGUUGCAUUCUACGCUUGGGAGGCUACUUGGGGGAGGGUGCUCACUCUUGAUAGACUUCAGAAAAGAGGAUGGCAGUUUCCUAAUUGUUGUUUUCUAUGUGGGUGUGAAGAAGAAACUGUAAAUCACAUUCUUAUUCAUUGUAUAGUUGUCAGAGUUUUGUGGGAUAUUGUUCUUGGGUUAUCAGGUGUGCAGUGGGUUUUUCCAGAAACUGUAAAGGGGGUGUUAACUAGCUGGAGGGGCCCUUUUGUGGGAAAGAAAAGGAAAAAGAUAUGGAAAUCCAUCCCGUUGUGUAUUUUUUGGACGGUUUGGAAAGAAAGAAAUAGGUUAGCUUUUAGGGGAGGAGAGUUAAAUAUCCAAAAGCUUAAGAAUUCUUUUGUGUGUAGUUUGUGGAGUUGGGCUAGAUUGUAUAUUGGCAAGGAGCGUAUGUCCCUUAUAGGGUUCCUAGAAUGGUUGGCGUCCAACUAAGGGAUGGUGAGGCUUGUUGUUUUUUUGGCCUUUUGAGGGGUUUGUUGCUUUGUAUACCCCCUGUAUACUUGUAACUUUUUGCCCCUUUAUCAAUAUAUCUUGUUUUACUUAUCAAAAAAAAAAAAAAAAAGAAAUCCAAAGUCUAUUAGAAUUCUAAUAACCUAUUAUGAAUGUAAUUCUAAUUAUCUUAUAAUCUAAUUAACUAAUCCUAAUUUGACUUUAACAAAUACUAAUCCUAAUUUAAUUCCAAUUAAUACUAAUUCUAAUUUAAUUCCAACUAAUAUUAAUCCUACUUAAAGUUUAUUCACGUCUUUCCUUUCCUUCUUGAAUGGACUUUAAAAGGCUUCUCCUUGCCCCCUUUAGAAAGAUGUUGCCUUUUCCACAUAGCUAGCCUCUUGUGAAUUCUCUUCUACUAUACAUGCCAACCCUCCCUCAAUUUAUAGUAGUCUCCUAGAGGCAGACCUAAAUACACAACAAGGAGUUCCCCCUUCCCACACCCCAUCUUGACCACCAAUUCCUCCGCAUUAGGAACCUUGCCCACUAGAAUCAACUUACUUUUCUCCAAAUUGAUCUUCAGACUAAUGAUGACUUCCAACCACAUGAAGAUUCAACUUUCAACUUAGAUAAAGUACUUGCUCUUGACUAACUUUAUAGAAGAUAAGAGUGUCAUCAAAGAAUAAAUGAUAAGACACCCCCACUCCUUCACCUCCCCCUCCACUUACCUUAACAGCCAAAAUAUAUCCUCCUUCCCCUUGCUUUCUUUUGAGUGCUUCUAUAGUUAAAACAAACAAGGGGAAAGGGACUCCCCUCACUUUAAUCCCCUAAUGCUUUGAAAGAAGCCAACUAGGGUGUUGCAAAGGUGGGAAUAUUAAGAUAGAGGAAUGUGUUGGAAAGAUUUCCAUUAUGAUGCAACCAAGUUGCUAUUCAAGUGUUAUAAAUCUUGUCAAAAGUAGUAUAUACUAUGAAUGCAACAUUCUGAUUAAUGGACAUUAUGCACAAGUAAGAAACACAUGUGUGGAUAUCUAAUUAUAAGUGUAGAAACAAACCAGAAAAAAAAAAAAAAAAAAAAUUGCAUGAGAAAAAUUCCAAACCUAACAACUGAGGUCUUGAAAAUUAUGCAGGCUGUAUGAUAAGCAUGAUUUGGGGUCAUUUACUAAACGUUAUGUUAACAUGUUUCUUUGAGAGCUAGCAUUUUUGUUCUCCUGCAAAUCAAACUUUAAGCAGCGGAUAUUCCAGCCCCAAUCCCUUGCCAAUUGUGACACAUCUCAAGAGCAACAACAAAUUUUUUCUAGCAUGAAGAACUUGUCACACUCUAAAAAGGAAUACAAGAAGAGCGGGAAAAGGUGCACAUACAUGGGCAGUAAUUACAGAAUCGUCUCCAUCCUGGUCAUUUCCAACGAUCACACCUUUCCUCCUAUUAUAGAUGCAGACAUUUUUUUUUUUUCAUUUCCAGGAGUUAGUAUGAAAGCGUUGAUGACAUUUGGUAGAGAGUAAAUAGAAGCACUCACUUAUUGAUGUCACCAGUAACAGUGCCCUGAAAUUCUGUUGGCGCUUUCAAUUCCACAAGCAUUACAGGUUCCAAUAUCACAGGUUUGGCUGCUGUAUAGCACUGUUCCAUAAAGCAGCAAUGUGAAAAUCUUGCAGUAAAAUGAGGGGGUAAAGCACAGCUUUGAGAAAAAAAAAAAGAAGAGGGGUUAAAAGCCUAAAAGAAAUUUGUGCAAUCUAUUUUACCAACAAAUUCACGUAGGCAUCAGGCCAAGAGAAAAACCUGUCUAAAAGCAUAAAUUGCAGCUAACUUAAAUGCAAGUUCACUAGAAUCCACAGCAUGGGCAGCACCGUCUGUUAAAACGAUACGAAUAUUUUCAACUGGAUGCCCUAUCAGUGAACCCCUGUACAAGUACGAGAAAUCAGAUCAAUACUAAUAACAAUAGUUCACACUUCUUUGAUAGUUACCAAAAGUUCAUGCAUAGAAUCAGAAAAAAUAUCAAUCCAUUUAUAAUAAAAAAGAUCAGAUGAAAAAAAAAAAGAAAAAGAAAUGGUAAACCACUCACGAAUUGGCUGCUUCUUUAAAACCCUUCUCAAUGGCUGGGAUAAAAUUGGAUGGUACAGCUUGUCCUACAAUCAUGUUCUCAAAUUCAAACUUAGUGGUGGAUCCUUCUGGGAGUGGUUCUACAUACCUGCCAAUAAAAAGAAAUGCUAGUGAAACUUCCAAAAGAAUAGAUACUCUCAUUCAUGAAUAGGAACCCUUAUACAUUCAGUAAUAGUACAUAUGAUAUAUGUAUCAUACUAGUUGUCAAAACUCAGAAGCAACUUUGCAGUUUGCUUAGGCACUAGAUUGGUGCCUAGGUCUUGGCCUGAUGAGCAUGCUACAUGUAACAAGUCACUAGUAGUAGGCAUGUUCUUUCUUCCCCCCCUCCCCCAAUAUAUCAUAGUUAAUCAGUAAGGAUUGAUACAUAUGCUAGAAAUACUUUAGACGUAAACCUUGCUAAUAUAAGGUAGCUAAACAAGAAAAAAUAGAACAAGAAGGAAAAUUUUAUUUCAGGUAAUCUAAGGAGGGAAAAAUCAAGAAAGGGUAUCACUGACUAACAACUUCGGACAUCAUAACAAUUAUUGCACUGUAUUUUAUAAACUGUUAUUUUUAUUUAUUAUAUUUCCAGCUUCUGAACACUCCAAAAGGUUGUUUUCUAUUUUCCAUGCCCAUUACUACAUUUGAAAGAAAUUUGUUCAACAACAUACUCACAAUAAUAUUGCCUUCCAUUUUUUAAAACGAAAAAAGUUAGUUAAAAAUUGUAUUUUGAACCCAAAACAAAUGGGUUCUUCGCAUUUUGAGCAACUCCACGCCAGUCACAGGCAUAAUGUAUUGUUUAUCAGAAACCAAUCGUAUGACAAAGAUCCAUACAUACAUUCAUAUAUAUAUAUAUAUAUAUAUAUAUAUUUGAUAGAUUACAAAGAUAUAUAUUUUUGAGACAUUAUAUCUGAUGCGAAAACCUAGAAAAUGUGAUGCCCAUGUUGGAGAAGAUAGCAGAAAUCAUGAACAAUCACCCCUGAUAUUUUCCUGCUUGGUCAUACAACAGAAGUGAAGAUACACAUAACCCACCAAACAGUCACAGCUACUAUUGACUCAGAGCAUUUAGAAUUCCCAUUAAGGGUUUGUUUUAUGCAUUUUGAUUUCAAGGGAAGUGCUUUUCUCAAAAGAAAGAUGUAGAAAGAGGUUAUUUCAAAGAUGUUUUGAUAAUGUUUGGGUGUUACAUUUUCAGAAGGGCUCCAGAGAAGGUAAGACAUGGAAUGUACAUAUUUAUCCUUUUAAAGAUAUCACAAAGCCAUGUGUUUGAAACCCAAAAGACUACUUAGGGUUCAUAUGUAUUUCAAGCAUGUUAUUCUCAUGAGUCUGAGCUGACAAUGCUUCAAUGAGAAGAGCUUUUGACCCUCAAACUUAACAAAAAGUACUUCUAGGAUCUAUAAAGACAAUGUCCAAGUUCUUUGACAGCCAGGAAGUGCUCCCUGCCCUCUAAGAAGCUUCUUCAAGCAGCUGUACAACGUUAUUAACAAACUUCAGCUGAGAUUUCUAAAAAGACUAUAAUUAUGAUUUAUUAGUAGCUUAACCAAGAAACUCAGUUUCAAAGGGAGAGAAUAAACUUUUGCAGGUUGUAGAAUUUCCAAGUAACCAAAUAAAAUAUACAAACAAACAACUUGCCCAAUAAAAAUGAAAAAUAAAUGUUGUUUCAAACAAAUGGCACGAAGAAAAAAAAAUAAAUUUGGCAAUCCAUCUGCAGUUGAUACUUAUAUUAAAUAAUAAGAAUAUACACAAAAAGAAUAAGCCAAUAAUAGAUCUAUGCUUACCCACAGACCCUUCCAUAUUGACCUUGUCCUCCAGUUUGCUUCUUAUGUAAGUAAUCAAAUUCAGCACGUUUCGUAACAGUCUCUCUGAAGUUAACACGAGGUCUUCCAACAGUUGCAUCAACCUUCAUAAAGGUAAAUUAAAGAGGGAAAGAGAGAGUACUUAAGUAUACAGGUGAAGAUUUUGAAUUAGCAAUCAUACUAGAAUCGAAUUAGCAAUCAUACUAGAAUCCCAUCACUGUAUUAAAGAAAGACAAAAAGACCAGGCACCUUAUACUCCCUCCGAAUGCGUUCAACGUAAAUGUCCAAAUGCAGCUCUCCCAUUCCAGAAAUAAUUGUCUGCACAAGAAAGCAUUUUGAUGUCAUGGUUAGGCAUGAUAAAACUUCUUCCUCUAAGGAAUGUGUGAAAUGCAUGUCAUAAAUUAAACCUGCCCACUCUCAGCGUCCAACCCAACACGGAAAGUAGGAUCCUCUCUCUGAAAGCGAUUCAAAGCCUUUGAAAACUGUACAAGGAUAAAAAAUUACCAUCAUUUGGUACCAUCAGUUACAAAGUAAAUUGAUAUCUCAAUUGGCCGUACUCACUUGUCCUCCAGAAUCCUUAGAAACGGGUGAAAUAGCUAAUGACAUGACCGGUUCUGGAACAUUCAUAGAGGUCAUGGUGUAUCUCACUGACCCAUCAGUAAAAGUAUCACCUGAUGACAAAAAGAAGUUUAGAUAUCAUGAAAUAUAUAUAUAUAUAUAUGAAACAAAUGAAGCAAAGAGCAAUAUAAGCAAAAUUGGAAUGAAGCAUCAUAAAACAAGUUGUAACAGCCUCAUUGCAACUAUUUUGGGUUACCAAAAUGAAUCCUCCUCCAAACUCCAGUAUUUUGAAGACAAUAUGCAGUAGAGAAUAGAAUUUUAAAUAUUUUUCCAUCGACAUUAUCAAAUGUCCAUCUCAUCAUUUCCUUCUCUCUCCUAGACUUGAACUUUUUCUUAUGAGAUACAAGAAAAUUCAUUGCAUUGAGAUCGGUAAGUAUGAUGAAAGAUGAGGAAUCCUUCCAAGAUUACAAAAAAACAGAUCAACAAGGAAAACAACAUUGCAGUGAUUCCGCCCUGGUCCAGUCAAAUUUUUUAAGACUACGGAAAACAACAUAGAAACAAAUUCUCAUGUUUGAUUGCAUGUAUGCAGUGGGUAAGUCAAACCUGAAGCACAAUCAACACCGAAGACAGCAACUAUUUGCCCAGCAUGGGCCUCUUGAAUGUCCUGUAGAAUUUAAAAAUCAAAUCAAACCAAAUAAUAACCCAGGGAAAAGGAAAAUGAGCUCACUGGAGUUCAACAAAUCAAGUUUUAGGAGAAACAAUAAAUUUCAGAUCUAUGAUCUAGUAUCAAACUGAAAAAUCUUAUAAGAUCUUUGACUCCCAAAGGAUUUGUUUGGCCUACCCUCUCAAGGAGAAAAAACUAAUAAUUGCAUUUGCAUAUGCUAGUGAGGUGAAUGUGUCAAGCAAAAACUAACCUCCAUCUCAUUAGAAUGCAUCCGAACCAAGCGAGGAACCUGUAGAAUAAAAUGACAAGGCUUCAGCAAUAUAUUUAACAAAAUCAGAAAAUAUCAUACUUAAAAUGGCAGUGGUCCACAUCAUGCAGAAGGAAAUCAUCGAACAUGUUUUUAUUGGAACACAAAAUCUGAAGCUUUCAACCACAUCAAUAAAUUGAUCACACUUAUUAAAAGUACACAUGAGUCACCUUGCAAGAUAUAUCUGAUGCUACUGUAAGACAAACAAACACCAACCCAUUAUAGGCACUUUUUGCCUUUCAAGUGUUGCAAAAAAAUUUUCACCACAAUGAACAACAGAACUUCAAUGGAAAUCAUUUAUUAAGGAAUGGAAAAAUUGAUUUAAGUGGAAAACUUUCCUCUCUCACAUCAUGAAAUUGGCUAAAGUAAAACGAGGAUAAAAUCAUAGCACAUCAAAAAAAAAAUAAAAAAACGAAGGAAAAAAAAUCAAUGUCUGGUUCACACAAAGCAGAAAUUUUGAACUUCAAUAAGAACCAUAAAAUCAAAACCAUACAUGACUUGGACUUCAACUCACCUUUAUCUUUUUGCCUGUGUUUACAUUGAUUAUAAAAUCACCCUUCCGAAUGACACCCUCGUAGAUUCUUCAUUAACAAAAAUAAAAGUUAGGACGAGUUCAGUAAUAUAUGGUUUAGAUCAACAUAUAACACUCCAUUAAUGCAUAAAUAAGAGCCUUGUACACACAUUAAAAUAAAAAUAAAACCAAACAAAAUUGAAAUUGUACCUUAGGUAUGUCAAUUGACCAAAGCGCCCUUCUUCCAAUUUAAAAGCCAAUGCGACAAGAGGUCCAACCGGAGUUCCAGAUAUAGUCACCUAAUAGGAAACCAAUCCAAGGAGAAAAGAUAUUUUAGUACCUUCAUCAGAUUGCUCUGCAAAACUAGAACAGAAGAUUCAAGAAAGAACAGUCAUCAACAGGACACCUUCUCUUCAUUCUUGUUUUGGUCAAGAGCAUAGUUGCUAACUUCAGUAGGACAAGGCAAAUAACUAAGCACACCAUCAAGAAGGGGUUGCACUCCCUGUAUUCCAAAACAGCAGAAGAUGAAGAAUACAGCUUAACAAAUAUUCAAGUCCCACAUACAAGCAGCACAAAUAGUACAUGUUGUUUCUAUUAUAAUUAACAUCAAAAAGGAAAGUGUCCAAGGAGAGGAGAAGUAUCCUGACUAUUAUAUAUAAUAUCAAGCAGCAGAACAAGGGAGCAAAGCAACUCACAUUCACUAUGACUUCACAUUAGUGUCAUUAAUAAGGUCAUUGAAAUAGUUCCUACCACAACCAAGCCACACCCAAAACCACUUACUACAAAAAGAAUCUUGAAGACACGGAAAAGUCCAAAUUUAGAUAUGGGUCAAUGCACAACUUGUGUCUGUGCAUGAACGGGGAGAGAGAGAGAGAGAGAUGCAAAAGUUAGUGAUUUAGACACCCUUGUGUCAGAGUCUUUUCCCCCUGCUCUCUCUUUCCCUUCUCACCAAACAAAAAAAAAAAGGAAGAUAGAUAUUGAACUAGUGCACAGUUUGAGAGAAGAGAGAUGAUGAAAUGAAAGGGGAAGGAACACCAUCGAUGAUUAGGGAAAAAAUCAACAAAAUGGGAGGAAGUGUCUGGGUCCUUUUCCUCUGGAGGACUUUAACAACUCCAUUCAUGACAAGAAUGCCCAACUUCUUAAAUUGUAUGCUCCAUUCUUAAGUAAACCGAAGCUAUAAGAUGAUUAAAUUAUUAAAACAAGUUAUAUGAUAAUUUUAAAUAUCAGUUAGGAGCUUACCUCAGCAUCUCUAACCUCAAGCACGGUUCUAGUUCAACUCACCCAAAUGCCUUUUGCAACAGUAAAUAUUUUUCAUUUUUUUUUAUAGACAAACACUCGCAACACUCAUUGUAUUGACCACUUACUAUGAAUACAAUUUUGCUCUCAGCUUAAUUUUUUUUUUUUUUUUUUUUUAACAAGUAAAAGCAAUUAUAUUGAGUGUGCCUAAGGAAGAGCACCGAAAAGUAUACUUUGCUCUCAGCUUAAAGAUGCUAUGUCAUGCAUUCUUGAUGGGGAACAAUGUGGCCAACACACUUUGAGAAUUUACAAGUGAAGAGAAAGGCUAGCUCCAGUGCCCAAGCCUUAAUUUGGAACACCAAUGAUAAUUUAACUUCCUAUUGGGAUUAUUAGUUUAUUUUAAGUUCAGUCUUUUGUCAGGUUUCUGUUUUAGUUAGUAAUUUACAAUUUGUCAAGUUUCUAUUCCUUUUAGUCUUCUUGUUGUGUUAAGAAAGUUUCUAUUUCUUUUAGUUUCUAAACAAUAGUUCUUUCCUAUAUCUAUUCCUAUUUGUAUAAGGAAAACUAAGGACUAAGGAAAGUUCUUCUAUAAGAGAAAAGAAUAAUCAGAAUCUAUAUAUCUAUGUAGCUUUUCAAACUGGAAGAUCCAGAAAUUAAUAAAAGUUUUCAACAUCUACUAUGCUUCCCUUUGAAGGUGAGAUUGUCCUGUCACAUGUGUAAUUGCUUAGAAAACCAUUGUUCUCAAAAAAACGCUGGAUCUUGUGUCCUGAAACCUUGGUGUGACUUCCAAGGAUUUCUUCUUUCUUUUAUUUUAUCUUCUUUGAUCUUUCAUUUGAUUCUAUAAAUUAAGGAACUUCCAUGUGCAGGAAGUAAAAAAAUCCUGCAUCAUUUCCAUAGGAUGAUCUACAUCCUUUCAAGAAAUCAUUUCCCUUGCAAUCUCAAAGACUUGAUUAUAUAAGGUCUGAGAAAAGCAUCUUUAAAGGAAUGGGAGAAUGCCCAAAAGAUUAAAUGCAUACUCAACAAAAAUUUGGUUCCUUCUAUUGACAUAUGAAAAUUUAAUUUGCCUGGAUUUUGCUAUAAAGAGCUGAAUAUCAUUCAAAGGAAGAAAUUAACAACCUCAUAAUACCUUGUUUUUGAAUGCACUGCCCAUGAAGACCGGUAUAAAUUUCUGUGCAACUGUAGCCCUGCGGAUUGCCUCCUACUCAAGAGAAAAUAAACUCUGAACUUCAAAACUACAAGAAUAAAAUAUAACUAAAAAUUAAAUUUUUUUUUGACAUUCAACAAAAGGAUUAACAGUAUUUAGGAUUGCUACAUUAGCUCCCAGAAUGAUGUUAAAAUUGGGCUACUGAUAUUUAACCGACAUACAUUCAUAAGGAACAAGUCAAAUGAAAGUGGUAAAUUUCAUCUGGGGUCACGUUUUUAAAGAUUUGAUAUAAAAUGGAUUUUUUUUUUUUUUGAUGGGCAAAUGAAGUGAGAAUAUAUUAGACGCGCCAAAAGAAUUGAUACAAAAUAGAUUAUGAGUUUCCUCCAGCAAUCCCUGCAGCAAAGAGAGUGGGGCACAAAGAGGAGGAUGGCUAAAAUUCAAUAGGUGGAUCCAUCUAAAGCAGCAGCUAUUGAUCAUAGCUGCCUGACAGAUUGCCUUGUCUUUUCUUCAUGACUAAGUAUAGGAAAAGGAUAAACUAUGCCAAGAUAUGAGGGUAAUAGUCUAAGAGGCGACCAGAUAUUUCUUCUUUGAGAGCAUUGGAGCUUGUAUACUGAGGAAAUGCAUGAAGAAUACAUGUUUUGCACCCUUUUCUAUGGAUUAUUUCCUCUUAACAUACCUCAAGACUAGCAGAUGAUAUAGGUUCAUCUGUUAGAAAUGCUUCGGCUAGUUUAUCAUCAACCUCGGAAACCAUUUCUAUGAGUUCACGCCGCUUUUCUGCAACUAAUGCCUCCAUAUUGGCAGGUAUUUCUUCGGCCACAACUUUUUCACUGCAAAAGGCAACAAGAUAAUAAGAAGAGAAAAUUUAUUAACAUUAUAAAAUAAUCCACACGAAAAGGAAUUAAGUAGCUAAUCAACCCCAUAGCUUAUGGAGCAUACCCAUUGGAACCAUGAAAAUAGUAAGCUUUUAACUGCACAAGAUCAACAAGACCCUGAAAAUCAUCUUCCAACCCAAUUGGAACUUGCACAGCAGCACUGUGAUGCCGGAGCUUUGACCUUGCCUACAAAACAAGCCAAUAGAAUCAGCUGCUUAUCAUUGAGCAUCCAAGCUCAAUCCAACGACUUGCGACUAGUUUGACAAAUUCCCACAAUAGAACAUAAAAACGUUCAGGUUCUUCAUAAAUUCUUAUCCAAAACCUGUAUCAUCAACAAAGGAAAAAAAAAAUCUAUAUAAAUAUAGAUGUAUUAGGUGUUGUGAGAAGUAAAGACCAGUGCAUAAAGGCCCUCAGGUAUCUCAAGAAGACAGAUAUGCUCAGUCUCUGUCCAGUAUAAUUUCCACAUUUGCACCAUUGCAAUUCCCAUGCAGUAUUCUUGUUCUAACAACUAAAACUGUCAUUAAGGGAUUAGUUUUGUUCUUGUUUCUUGCAGAGCUUCAACCCUAAAUUUAAGAGUAUCCAACCAAUAUCCUGGUUGUACUUGGAACCCCAUUUGCACCAAAAAGAAAUUGUACAGUAGAUUUCCUUUCAAUCUUUAAUGAAACUUACUAUGCAAUAGUAAACUAAUCAAAUUAAGAGAGGAAAUUUCAAACAUUUUCACAGGCUACCAUAAAUAUAAAUUGUACCUGGCUGAGAACUUUCCAUGGAUCUGCUCCCAUUCGAUCAAGUUUGUUAAUGAAUGCAACUCUUGGGACAUCAUAUCUUCUCAUUUGCCUAUCAACAGUUAUUGACUGACUCUGCACACCACCAACACUACAAAGGACAAGAAUGGCACCAUCAAGGACACGCAAAGCCCUCUCAACUUCAAUGGUGAAGUCGACAUGACCAGGAGUGUCAAUUAUGUUAACCUGCAAAAAACAAUUUCUGGAUGAUUUUUCUUCUUUUUUUUUUUUUUCUUUUGAAUGGGCAACCAAAAGAAUAUAUAAACAUCUAGCAAAAAGGGUGCAACAAGGUACACAAAUUUCUGGAUGGAUAAAAACCUAAAGAAAUAGAUCAUAAAAAGGUGGCAACGGUAUUUUGCAGACCAAGUAAAUUGAUGAUAAGCUGUGACCUGAGAACCUUAAUUGUUCAACUCAGCCAAAUAAAGCAUUUGGCUUAGUUGAUGCAAUCUUUUCAAUUUCUGGAAACCAAAACAAAAAUAAAAUAUAUAUUGUAAUUUCUUUUAUUUUUCUCUUUUCUGGAAACCAAAUGAAUGGUAUCGCAAUUUUGAUUUAAUUAUUUCCCCCAUUCUACAGCAGCCAAAUGGACCUGAUACUUGAUAAACAUUCUAAACAGUAAAUUUUAAUCACAUGACUUUCAACGUAUGGGACACAAGGAAGAAACACUGCUGCAGAACUGACCCUGAUACAAGAAUAUUUGUCCCAUUUGAGACAAACUUUCGUUUUUGGAAAACCCCAAACAACACAAACAGAAGAUCAAGUAUUCUGUUUUCUUCACUUAUCCACAGCUUUCUCAUCAACACAACAGAGGAUCAAGAUUCAAGGUUUUUAAAUUCUUUCUUGUCCUACAUUUUCACAAUUAAAUGGUAACAAAGUAAAAGAAAACUGUCACCUGAUAAGUAUUCUAAAGUACAGUAAGUAGCAGCUGAUUGAAUACUAAUCCAUUUUUCCCUUUCUAUACUAAAGCUAAGAUUCCAAAAUUUGGUUUCUUCACUUACCCUACAAUUUCUUACAAAGGAAACAGCACACAAUGAAACCUUAGCAAAAGAAAAUCAAUUAUGUAUCCGAUAAUCAAUCCAAGUGUGGAAAAUAGCAUCAGACCCAAUUGGUUUUUUAAAUAGAUAUUCAAAAAACUUCUCCUAGAUUUAACAAACAGACAAAAGAAACCAUUGGAUAACCACUACGAGAACAUCGACUGGCUUCUCUCUAAUUCCACAAUUUAAAAUUUCUUACAAUUUCCCACACUUGGGCAGCAACCAAAGAGACGCAAUUAAUCGCACCGAUACUCAUAGCAAGUGCAGUUUAGUACAAACUAAGUCAAAAUUCAACAAUUUCUUUUCUUUCCUUUUUCCUACAUUUUGUCAUCAACCAUAGAAACGGAACCAACUGAAUCCACACACACCUGAUAAUCUUUCCAAGUACAGUAGGUAGCAGCAGACUGAAUCGUGAUCCCCUUCUCUCUUUCUAAAUCCAUGGAAUCCAUCUUCGCACCUACUCCAUCGCGGCCUCUAACCUCAUGAAUCUCAUGGAUCCUUCCCGUAUAAUACAGAAUCCUCUCCGUCAGCGUCGUCUUCCCCGAAUCGAUGUGGGCAGAGAUUCCGAUGUUCCGAAGCCUCUCCAUUGACUCCUUCCACCAUGUUGCCUCCACUCUCGCUGGGUUGCCGGCUGAGAAAGUCCGCCGGUGACCAGUCAGAAGAGGCGACGACGUCGUUUUGAGGGCGGAGGAGAGGGUGUAUAGCAGGCGAAUUGCCGGAGACCGUGCGGAGGGAGCCAUGGGCGUUAGGGUUCUGGGCGGGGUUGAUCGCCGUGCUGGUUAAACCCCUAGGGUUUUCAACUGCUGCUACACUACUAAACCCAAAACCCUCUGGACCCACGAGAUAGCGAAAAUUUUGGUACAAAAUUAAAAAUAAAAAAUAAAAAGAAAUUUCCAAAUGAAUUUUUUUUUUAAUUUUUUUAUAUUUUUAAAAACAUAUUCUCUACUUCUCUAUUUUUAAAAAUAAAAUAAAAUUCUCUAAAAAUUAUUUUUUAUUUCAUUUUAUUUUUAAAAAGACAAUGAUUAAACAAAAAAAUUUAAAAAUAAUUUUCUAUUUUUAAAAAUAAAAUACAUUUUUUUAAUUAAACCCGAUAUUUUUAUAAGGCCAAAUAUAAUAUUUUAACAUAUUUUAUAAAAUAACAUUUUAAUAAAGAUUACAAAUGUUUUAAAAUAUUAAAUAUUGAAUGAAAAAUUUAAAAAUACAAUCUUAAGAAAAACUUUAAAGUUUUGGAGCUACACUUAACAAGUUAUUUCAAAAUUUUAUUUUAAAACUCAAAUAUAAAAAAAAAUCAUAAUUAUGGCUCAAAAUUCAAAAUAUCCUCCAUAUUUUUUUAUUAUUACUCAAAACAUUAUUGAAAAAUAAAAAUAAAAUACUUCAUAUUUAUUUUUAAAAAUAUGUUUUCAAAAUAAACUCUUUACAAAAAUUCCUUUUUGUGCGCAAGGUUUGCCAACUGACUUUCCAUGUUAAAAAACGAUUUUCAGUUGACUGUUUCAAGAACAGUUUCCAAACAGGUACUGAAUAAUUUUGACCAAUUCAAACAAUACACAAUCUGGAUCCCCUUAAUCCCCUCAGAAAUUACUCGGAACUCAGUUGAUCAUGAUAAUGCAAAGAAAUUAACAGGAUAAGCAAACGAAUAAUAAUCUCAAAAGAUGAACAAAGGCAUAAGAAAUUGCACCUGCAGCCACUAAAGUUAGACUGCAAAUACAAGGAAGAGAAAUAAAAUUUCUAUCAACAACCUGCGAAUUCAGCACUUUUGAUACCAUCAAGCAUCCUGGAGUCUCACAUACUUUGUUUUGCUUCAAAUCCAAAAAACAAAAAUAUACCCCAAAAAAAAAAGGGACAAAAAUGCUGUUUUGAGUUCUGUAUACAGCAAGAGGCAAAUCCUACAAAGGCUGUAUCUCCAUGGUGGUGUGUUCGGUGCCAUUUUUAGAAGACGGUGCAGCUUCCUGGUUUCCACCUGCAUCCAUCUCUUGAACUGGAGGAGGAUUAACAAUGGUCAUGGGCAUGGCAGAAUUACUGGAUAGAUGUCCCUUCAUCUCCCUAUGCUCCUGACAUAUAGCACACCAGUGCAUGCAGCAGUGCACCAGGCAUGGGUCACACGGUGAGUUCUGCAAACAAGCAGUAGAAAUAUGGGUGAAGAACACAUGAUUUUCCAGUAUGAAUGACACUGCUAAAGGGGGAAUUCAUAAAAGACCCGCCGCAUCUUCUGAAAUGCCAAACUAUAAAAGAUCAGUAAGACAGCCAGAUACUUGUCUUUACACUGGCAGGUCUCAAUUCUCGACAGUAGUGGUGAUAAUGAGGUUUGGAAACACAUAGAGAUCAAUGGAUAUAAUAAUAAAUUUCCAAUAUUGAAAUGAAUUUGGAAAUUGCAAGUAUUGAAUCAAUUUGGGGAAAAAGAUUUGACAGAAUGAAUAGCAAAACUGAUAAUUUCAAAUGAAACUUCGAAUAUUGUUACUAGAUGGAGGAAUUCAUCAUUACAAUACAAAAUAUUAUGAAUUAAAUGCAUGCAUAGUAAGCAUAGGGCAUGUAGAGGCAAAAAGCGUAUGCUAUGAAGUAUUAAGCAUAUUCUAGAACACCCAUUUACAGGAAAAUCUAAAUCCCCUCCUCUAAGGUUAAGCCUAGCUAUAAGAUCUCCACUCUAUUUUUAAAAAAUACAUUCCCCCCACUUGAGUUUUAGCUGAAGUUGCACCUCACUCCCUCUUUCUGCCAAAACACUGAUGGAAAUUGCGAACUCAUGGUUCAUUUUUAUUGUUUACCAGAGACAUACUACCUUGAGUAAGUCAUUAUUGUGCCCAAACACAAUUAUAUACAGAAGGUUCAUAAAUAUAACUCCAUUCUAUUCCUUAAUGGAAUUCACGUUACAUUACCAACAGGGAAGUCAAUGUAUUUUUGGAAAAUGGAGGAAGGCUCUUGUAAUCAAGCUACAUGUCAGAUGAAGGGUACAAUUUCCCAUUCAUGUAAUACUAUAAAAUCCAACCUUGUAAAUAUCUAGCAGCUUUUAAUUUUAUUUAUUUAUUUGAUAGGUAAAGAUCAAAUAUAUUAACAGUGGCUAACAAAACGACACAUGAAAGUAUACACAGUGUAGACAAAAGGCCAACCAAAAUGGGGGGCGGGGAGGGGGAACAUAAGAAAAAAAAAAAACUCUUUAAACGUACUUAGAGCUCAACAAAUCAAUAAAGUCCAUUAUGGACAAUGAGCAAUCUCCUAUGAACACUAACUCCAAAAAGUUAUACAUAAAAGAAUUGUUUGAUUACUUGAUAUGCUUUUUUGUAUUAUCAAACACUGUCCUAUUUCUUUUCUUAGCAACUUUUACAUUUGUAAGUGCAAUAGAACAUGAAAAACAGCAGAUUGAGUUCCUAGGGGUUUAUAUAUAACCCAAGGUGAAGUACUACAAAGAGUUCACAACUGAGGAGAUCUUGAGACAGAUCUCGACCAAAAGAGACAUCAACCGAGAUUUUGACCUUGUUGACAAAACAUAAAACUAAUACAAUCCCCUCAAAUAGGAGAUACAAACAAGGAAAUGACAAUUAUCUUCACUUCUCUUUGGAAAAAUCCAAUGCCUGGUUAUCAAAUGGUGAAACAUUGGAUUAUCCAUUAAUUCAUUUUAUUUUAGCAUAACAGCACAAGCUUUGUUCAAAAGAAUUCCAAUGUCAAACCAGGCAGUGCACUUCAAAGGCUGAGAAAAUUUAAUCCUCUCAACAUUCAAGUCAUACAUAAUAAUUCUGAUAAAAUAUCUGUUGCAUUACCAGAAAUUUCCAAGGUAAGACGAAAAUGAAUACAACUCUAUAACCACAGAAAAAUUAAAAUAAAAAAAUUCAUUUAGUACAAAAAAAAUACACGUCUAAAGUGAAAAGAAUCCUGGUAUGAAGUGGAAAGUAGGAGUGUUGCAUAAAAUUAGUAUAUAUUUAUGUGUUUUGCAUGUCAUUUCACAAUCAAAGGCAUAUUCUUGGGCGAACUCUCCUUGUGAAAGCAUUCAGCUUUGAGAUCCUAAUAGAAAUAAAAAUGGAAAUCACCUUGAGAUGAUACUGCUUCUGCAAUGAUUGCCGAAACAGGCCAGUAUAGAUACCACACAUCCACCAAGUAAAUAGCAGGCCUUCACAAAUGAGAAAUGACGUUUUGGGAUCAAUGCCAUGGAAAAGUGCUGUUGCUGCAGCAAGUGUCAUUCCACCUUCAACACAUAAGGCAUGACAAACGCAAGCAUUGGUCCAGGGGAUAUCUUCUCUCAGUUGCUCAACAUUAUGCCCAAACAACACACAGGGGCAAAACAGCCCAGUCCAGCCUGUGAGACAUGGUUAAUGGUUUCAGAAUAAUCAAGGAUCAACUAAAAAAGAUUCACAUGCACUGCAGGAAAAGAGAAGUACAAUAGAACAUACCUGCCAAAUUGUUCUUCAUAAUUAAAUUUAUUCCAUAAAUAAAACUUUUUAUAACGAUGAGACUCAAAUUGUUCAAUAACAGGAUCAUUUUUAUGUACCAGUAGUUCUCAUCAUCAUCACCAUUGCCAUCCAAGCAAUCAGAUACAUAAGAGUCUGUAUGGUGAAUUGGCCUCUUAAUUUUUCAUAUUAGAAUCUUGAAUAUGUGCCCAGAACAGAAAAGACUGGUGCAGUGCUGCAUUUACACAUGAAAAGAUUGGUGCAGGCUAGCAUUUACAUGUGAAUUUUGUCAUACCCUUCCAUUCAGGUGCCACAAUCACCUCUUCUCUCACUGCUUAACUGACAGUCCUUAUGCCGCCAUCCUUAAGUCCAUGUAAAUGUUUUCAACUUAAAACAUUAUCAUCUUUGAUGGAACUAAAAAGUGAAAUCUACUGCAAGUAAGAGCAAACAACUAAAAAAAUGACAAAGAAUUUCAAUAGCACUGUCUCUUUUGCCUUGCUGUAUUCUAAGAGGAAGAAAAUCCUUUGAGCAGUGGAAAGCGAGAGUUUCAUUCAGUAGCGCUAUCCUCACUCGAUUUUUAGUAUAUUUAUAUUCUUAAUAGUAAAUCAUAAAUACUAUACUUGCACUUUUUAAUAAACUUACAAAUUUUAGUAAAUUAGGCUUUUAUACUUACCAUGACUUUUUUAAAGAUAGAAGGAUGAAAGAUUUAUAACUUUUUUAAUAAUUUAUAUAUAUAUAUUUUAAACUUCUUAUAAUUAUUUUUAUUUUUAAUAAUAUAUAAAUUAUAUAUUUAUGAUAUCACGCUAACAUCACUCUUUGACUGAUAUUGAACCAUCAGUCCAACCUGUGACCCGAUAACUUUUAACCGGUCUAGUUCUAAAAACAUUGGUCACCUCCCACUUGCACUUCCAAUGCUUCAACCUUGUUAGCUAACCCAAUUUUGUAACCAACCUAAUAUACUUUCUAUUUCACAUAUCUAACCUAAUGAAAUUUUCAGUUGCAAAAAUAAAUACAAUUAUGUAGUAGUUAUGCUCCAUAAUGCUCAUAAAUUGAUAUAACAAUACAUAAAAUGACUUUAGAACUUGAUGAAAAAAAUAGUAGCACAUUGUAGAGGUUUGGCUUCAAACACAAUGUUGCUACAUAACCUUUCCAAAUUUCUAAUACAAGCACCAUAUGCGGCUUUGUGUCUUUAUCUAACACAAACAAUGCAGAGAAAGCAUAAGGGUAUUUACAGAAAAUGCCAGAUGAAUUGGUGAAUGUGAAAAUUUGUAUGUUCACUUGCUAAAGAUAAAGGCAGAUUGAAGUCUUACAACUCUCCCUAUCUUCGGCACAGCCACAAAUUCCAGUUGUCCAAUCUUCAUCAGCUGGGGGCUGGUAGCUUUCAGGUAGGGGUUGCCCACACUCAUUGCAUCUGUGAACAAUCAACUGUCCAGUGACAGACAUGAUCAGCAAUGCACAGAAAGAAUCCGAAACAGUGGGCAUUCCAAAGAAGCAAGGAAAUAAUGAUUGUUGAUUUGAGGUUGAAGAUGUGGAAACAUCAUUAUCAUUUACUGAGAAAACAUGGAUUGGAUUCACACUGCACAAGUUUUCAAUCUUAUUCCAAAAAUAAGGUCAUUUUUCAUUUUUAAGAAGUUUCUAAUCCCAUUCUGUCUCAUUCUCGUUUGAAUAAAAUAAUCUAUUCCCUCCUCAUUUUUUGCAUAUAUAAAAUUUGCCACUCCAAAUAAAAAGAAGCAAAUAGUAAACAGCAUAGACAUCAUGCAAAAUCACAAAACACCGUCUUGAAUGGUCCACAAUUCUAUGAAAUUAAGACAGAAAGGCAUUCAAUUUUUUCUUUCUCCUUUGGGUUGUGGUUAGUAAGCCCUUUUUCAUAGGCAGGCUUGCAAGACAAUCAAUGCUGCAUCCACCAACACUGAAGCUACAUUCAAUGAUUUCAAAUCCUAAACCAUAUCAAGCAAAAAAGAUAAAAAUUAAAAAUUAAAAAAUACUACACUGGUAUUAAAAUAUAAACAGAACAUUAAAACUAAGGCAAAUCUUCUUCUUUUUUAUUCCUAAUAAUUGACCUAAUCCCCACCUGAUAGGACAAUCCAAUUCUAGGGUCCCAACUCACCAGACCCCAAUACUUAAACACGUCAAAAAAAAUUUCUUUCCCCACAUUGCCUCAAUAACCAAACAAAGCACAGUAAUCUGGACAAUGGCAACAAAGAUCCGAAACAGAAAUUCAAGAUUCAAGCAAAUUUCCAUCAAAACUGAAAAAAGAACAUAAAUUGUAAAUUCAUGAACGCAAGAUUUUGAGAAUAUGAAGCGCAAUACAAUUCAAGAACCAUAAUGAUCUAACCUGAGGAACCUCAAUUGGUUGAUUGAGCUCUCCGGGCGUAAUAUCCUCCACUGGCGCCUGAUCCUUCUUAAGCUUCACGUACCGCGAGGACUGUGCGAUUCCCUCCGACAUCUGAUCCAACACAAAAAUCAGAGAGAAAACUCGAAAUCACCCUCUCCUUCGUUUCUCUCCCAAUAAAAACAAAAAAAAUGCGAAAACAGGAAUCAUAUGAAACCAUUUUCUAUUUGGUCACCAUCAAUAUAUACCAGAAGCAAAGAAACAAAAACGCUAAAUCCAAGACUUAUUGUUAUUAUUAUCAUUACCAUUAUUAUUCAGUACAACGCAAAACAAAACCGCCACUAGACGUAAAACAAAACCAAAACACAACGUAAAACCAAAAAGACAAAAAGGAAAAAUCCCAUGCUUUCAUUUUUAUUCGGUGAUUUUCUGGGGAACCAAACGGAAAAGAGAGACAAACCUUGAAAGAGUAGAAAGGCUUAAAAAAUUGACGAAAUCUGGGGAGAGUCUCAAAGCACGAACCCCAUCUCUCUCUCUCUCUGUAUCCACUUCAAAACGCCUUUGUUUGUGUGUGAAGUUAAGCCAACGAUUUAAGCUCCAAUGCGACGUCGUUUCAUUUUGACGUUGUUCCCCUCUCAUCUUUAUUAUUUCUACCUUUCCCCCGAGUUUUCUUUAUUUAAAAAAAAAAAAAUUGCCUUUUUUGCCAAAUAUGUUUGAUGAAGAAAAGUGAAAACUAUUUUUUUUUUUAAUUGUAAAAUUUUAUUCGUUUUUUAGUACUAAUUUAAAAAAUUAUUAAAAUUAGAUUUAUUAUUAAAAAAUGAUAUUAUUCAUAAUAUUACUAAAAUAUAAUAUUAUUAUUAUAAUUCAUAUCUACAUUAUUGUAUAAAAAUAAUAUUAUUUUAAAGUGGUUUAAACAUCUUAAUAUAUUUAUAAUUAAACGAAUAAAUUAUCCUAAUAUAAAAAUAUAUUCACCUAUAAUCAUCCAUAUAUAAUAAACAAAUAAUAUAAUGUACUUACUAAAGGAUUUUAAUUUUGAACUAUUUCAUUCCUAUUUUGAUAUUUUUAUAGGUCCUUAUUUUUCAUAUUUAUUCACAAACAUUAAAUAAUUUAAAAUCUAUAAGUUUGUAACUAAUUUAAAUUAUAUUUAAUUUUUUUUUCAUUUUUUUAUAAUAAAUCAAAUAUAAUCAAAUUUAUAUAUUUUUAAAACUUUUUAUUUCUUUAGAAUUUUCUAGAAAUUAGUCUAAGAAAUCAUUUUUUGAUUCAUGCUCUUGAUAAUUUAUUGACAAUGUUAUGGAGUUGGAUUUUCCGUAGAUUUGGUGAAUCCUUGGGCUUAAAAAAAGUCAUAAUCAUGUAUUUUAAUUAAAAUAGAUAAAAGCAUGGAUGAGGUUGGGAUGUUGGUAUUAAAAAAAAUGUCAAGAAAAAUGAAAAUUUUUAUGUUUAGUUUAUUAUAAAUGUGAAGAAAAAAUUAUUUUAAUCUUUGAGCGCGUUCGGAAGUGAUUUUAAAAAACGUUUUUAGUAUUGUUAACACUUGAAUAAUAAAAUUUUUUAAGUAUUAAAAAUAUGGAGAAUUGUAUUUUGGGCUCAACUAAGCUCAAAAAUUGACCACAGAUCCAUAUCAUGCAUAUUUAAACCUAAUACCCAAAUAAGGUGUGAAAAUUAAAUUGAAUGAUAUUAUAUUUUAUUAAUCUUUAAAAUACCUUUAACCCCUACAUAGACACAUAAUGAGUGUAAAUUUUUUUAUUUUUAUUUUUUACCAUUUUCUAUCCCCAAUUAAGUAUUAUUCAUUUCUAAUUUUUUUUUAUUAAAUAUAUUGAAUCUUUUUACUCUUAUUAUAAGUAAGGAUAAAAAUUUUUCAUAUAAAAUUUAAUGGACAAUCAAUGAAUAAAAUUUAAUUCUUUUUAUUAUUUUCAUAUAAAAAAUAGUACUAAACAAAGUUUUCAAUUUUUAUUUUUAAAAAUAGUUUUCAUUUUUUAAUUAAAUGUUUUUUCAAAAAAAAAAAAAUCAUAUUACCAUUUUUUUAGAAAGUAAUUUUUAAAAUAGUUUUUCAACGUAAUUUUUCUUUAUUUAUAAUUUAAAAUAGAAAAUAAUGUUGAUUUUCAAUUAUUUAUAAAAAAAAAGUUUUAAAAAACAAUUAAAAAUCCAAAUAGUUAAAAUAGAAUUAUGUUGCAUGAAUAGUGAUGCAAUAAAGACCAAAAAAGUUUAUGUGAAAGGUUAAUGGGUAUUUUGAUAUUUUAUAUCAUUUCCAUCAAUUAUGUAAGUUAUAUUAACCAAACCUUAAUUUUUGGGCUGAGCAUAUAAUUAUUCCUUAAAAAUAUUAAAAAUGCAUCAUAGAAUUACUGUUAAAUACACUAUUUAUUUAGAAUUAAAAAAAACACACAGAUCAAAUCAUGAAAAAAAAAAACCAUGGAUUUAAAAUUAAAAAAUAAGUUAAAAAAUACACGAUUGUCCCUUAAAAAUAUUAAAAACGCUUUAUGGAAUUACUAUCAAACACACUAUUUAUUUAGAAUAAGAAAAACACACAGAUCAAAUCAUGAAAAAAAAAAAACCAUGGAUUUAAAAUUAAAAAAUAAGUUGAAAAAUACACAAUUGUCCCUUAAAAAUAUUAAAAACGCUUCAUAAAAUUACUAUCAAACGCACUAUUUAUUUAGAAUAAGAAAAACACACAGAUCAAAUCAUGAAGAAAAAAAAAACCAUGGAUUUUAAAUUAAAAAAUACGUUGAAAAUUACACAGUUGUCCCUUAAAAAUAUUAAAAAUACUUCAUAAAAUUACUAUUAAACGCAUUAUUUAUUUAGAAUAAGAAAAACACACAGAUCAAAUCAUGAAAAAAAAACCAUGGAUUUAAAAUUAAAAAAUAAGUUGGAAAAUUCAAAUGGUUGAAAGAUUGCAUGAGGCCAAUGCCCACACGGGCCACACCCUAACCUAAUGCAAUUCAACAAACAUGAAUUGACAGGAAAGACAAAGAAAGCUGCCAUUGAAAUUUGUUAAAAAAAAAACAUUGAAGAGUGACAGAAGAGAGAUAAUGUAUGAAUAGUUAAUUUAAGGUUUCCAAAACAGUGAUGGAUCAGCAUUCACCAAAGAAGGAUAGAAUUUCACUAGUAACUCGUUCAGCUUUCUCAAUUUGGAUGUAAUGAUGGCCAUCAAUCACAACCACCUCCAUGUUAGGCACCAGUCCCUUGGAUGCUUCUCCCUUUAUAUAUUCCCGUGUCCCAAAUGCUUCAAAUCCCAGGUCCUUGUCCCCAACUAUAUAUUUCGUUGGUGUAGUAAUUUUCACUCCCUGCCACGCCCCUAGAAGCUCCCAAUUCCUAUCACAAAUCCCAAAAGUUAGGAAGCAUGGAAAAAGAGGAGAAUUUGUUUUACUUUAAGAGUGUGAUCGAAAGUGAUUCUAGAAAACGUUUUUAGUAUUACUAGUACUUGCAUUAUAAAAAUUUUCAAAUAUUAAAAAUAUUAAAACACUUUUUAAAAUCAUUAUCAAACAUAUACUAUUUUUUCUUUCAUUUUCCUAUACCAUAUAGAAUAUUAUGAAAAAAGUAUAAUACAAAUCAUGUAUUUAAUAUGAAUAUGGUAUGCACAAUCCAUAACAAAUGUAGAUAACAUGAAUUUGGUAUGUCCAAUCCACAACAAACCCAUCCCAAGGUCGAUUUAUGAAAUCCUAACCUAUGUCAAAUUUGUGGGCAAUUCAAAUUCCCAUAUGUUUUUAUGGGUUAUUAGACAAAAUAAUUAUUUUAGAAUCUAUAAAAAUGUAUCUCAAAAUUAUAAAAGAAAUUAUGAAAUAAGACAUGAAAAAUUAAAUAUCUCAAAAACAAAAUUUACUAUUAUUUUCUAAAAACAUAAAAUAAAAAGUGCAUAUGGACACUUGAGUAUUCAAGACACUUUAAUAAUUUUUUAAAAAUUAAUAAACUCAUUAAUCUAAAUGAAUUAAAAACUAAGAGAAAGUGUUUGUUUAUCUAACUCAUUAAUCUAACAUAAUUAAAAACUAAAUAAGAGUGUUUGUUUAUCUUUUCUAUUUUUUAAUAUUUUAAUGAAACAUCAUAUAAUAUAUUUACAAAUAAAUAAUAUGUGAGUUUGGAUUUCUAGAGUUUAUACAAACGUUGAUCAACUCCCAUCAACCUUAAUGUACAUCACACUCGCAUGUUCCAAGAAUCAUUAUUUGGGUGGCCUAACUCGAACCAUAAUCCUGACUUUGAUAUCAAUUUUUGUAUCAACUUUGACCAUUUCAUCUAAAAAACAAUUGAUGGUAAUAGACCAAACCUUUUUAUGACAUUCAACAUCACUUAGACCCGUCAAGUCGCAACUCUAAUUUUAUUUCCGGCAAACUUCCCUAAAACCAAAGAUAGACCACUAGUUUCCUUUAAUUUGUUUUAUUAAAGUACAUGGUCUAAAAACAACUUAAAUGCAAGAACUUACAUGUCCAUGGCACGGUAGUAGUUCAAACCCCCAGUAAAUCCAGACUGCUGAAACUUGCUGGCACUAAACUGAAGCUCCUCCUCAGUAAUCCAUGGAGGCAAUUCUGAUGGGGUGUCGAGAAAAUCAAUGAUCUCAACACCAGGAGGAGCAGCCAGAAGAUCAGGCGCAUUCACCAGUAAAAACUUCUUCAAUAUCGUCAAACAAUCAUACCUAGAAAAUGACUUUUCUGCUCUUCCUGGCUCCUGAAUUAAUGCACCACUAAUUAAAGAUAAUGUCGAGAUAUUACUGUUUCAAUAUGAAGUUAUGAACAUACCGACAGCAACUGUUGAUAUAAAUGUACCUGAAACUGAAUUAUGUAGAGACUGUCACCAAAUACUUGGUUCAUGAAUUUGAGUGGUUUGAGCUCCGGUGAGCGUGGCCUGAAGGGAACGCCGAGGUUAACCAGUGCCUUGACCCUAUCUGGCCUCAAGAGGCAAAGGUGCCAGGCCACUUCUGCACCCCAGUCAUGCCCCACUACAAAUGCCUGCUCACCAACACCAGUAUUCAGCACCAUGUUUCACUACAAAAAUGAACUAUUUGUAUUUGGCCUGCCGAAAAUACUAAGGAAAGAAAAUAAAUAACAAAAAAAAAUGAUUUAUCGAAUUUUAAUCUGUUUUUCAUUUUCCUUCUACUUUUCCUUCAAAUUUUCUUUUCUUAACUAUUUCCCUCAAAUUUUUUGAAAACCAAACAUAACCUGGGAAUUUAAUGUAUAAGUGUAAGCCUGCUGAGGGAUGUUCUCGAGAUGAUUAUCAAAAAGACAAAUUGAGACUAAUUCUUAAAGUAGUUAUAAAAAUUAUUUUCAGAAAAAAAAUUUAAAAAUAAUUUCUUCCUUUAUGAAGUUACCAUACACUUACAUAAUAUAUAAAAUUUCUCCAGUAUUAUUUAUAUGUUUAUGAUUGGCAAAAUAUCUUAAUCUUAUUAUAAUCAAUUAACCCUAUAAUUUAUCUUAUUUUUCAAUUCACGACGCUUUUAAAAUCAUCAUUUUUCCUUUUUCGUGAGAAGUAAAAGCGAUUUUUUUAUUUUUUUAUUUUUUAAAUGUUGCAGAAAUACCAAAGCCAUACUAAUCAAGUUUUACCAUGCGCUUGAGCUUCCAAGAAGAUGAUAGAAAAGGCUUUUCCAAGAUAGGAGGUGAAGUACCUUUUCUUCUCCGAGCUGGUCCAAAAGGCCAAUUAGGUCUCCAACAAGGUGGAGUAUGGUGUAUGAAGCUGGAUCAGGGGGAGAAUCAGAGUCUCCGUAGCCUCGCAUAUCGGGCGCGACGACGCGGUAGCCAUGCUUGGCCAAGUGGGUUAUCUGGUAAUUCCAUGAAGACCAUAGCUCAGGGAAGCCAUGAAUGAGGAGAACAAGAGGUCCUUUUCCCAGCUCAGCUACGUGCAUCCAUAUACCAUUUGUACUAAUUCUCCGAUGGAUUAUACCCUCCGUACUCAUGGUUUGAUCUCUCUUUUCCUUUGCUGUUUCUUUUGUUCUGACUUCUGAGUGUUCAUCGGAUUUAUAAUUGAGAGAUUGGGGCUUUCAACACUGGCGGCUUGGAAAAUUCAGAAGCCCUUUACUUGAGAAAAAGGUUUUGUGCAACCCAAUUUCUAGACCCAAGCCCUUAUGGGUUUUCAUGGGCGCAAAUGUCUCUUCUCUAAUGGGCCGGGUUUAACAUUGAUAAUCAUCAGCCCAAUUGAUGAGGAGUGCUUCGGCUCGCCUAUUUAGAGUUUGUUUUAAUCUAUUUGAAAGGAAGGGAAUCAAAAUCAUAAUUUAAAAUUUUAGCUGCUAAAAGUUAAUUCUUACUUCAUUUUGGGCCGAAACGCAAUCCAAUGUAACGGAUUCGGACCAUCCAGUUUGGGCCCAGAGCGGCCCAAGUUCAAACCCACAGUAUGUAAACUCUCUAAACACAGCGUCCUGACCGUGUAAAGCACCUUAGGUUCAUCGUUCCUCCACUUCAUCGCCUGCCAAACCGGGAUGGGGAAGAAGAACAAAACGGAGGGUGGCGGAGGAAGAGACCAUCACUGUCCUUCGACUGUGUUCGUCUCCAACUUUCCUUACUCAUUCACCACUCUCAGGCAUUAUCGAUUAAUCUCUCCUUUCAUCCUCCGUUUGGUUUCUGAGAGAACCGCAGAGCAUGAGGGGAAAUUUUGGACCUUUUUUUUUUCCUUUCCUUUUCUACAUAAACUAAGGAGAUAAUAUUUGUAUUCCCUCAGUCGAGUAGAGUUUUUUGCUUCAUCCCUGGAAAAUCCAGAAUUCAAAUUUUUUGCUUCCUGUUUCGUGGACUAAAUUUGUAUAUACUUUUUGUUUUUUAUUUUUAAAAACUAAAAUAGUUAUAGAUAUUAUUUAAAAUGUACGCUCUUAAAUACUUGUCUUUACUCCUUAAUGCUAUUUUUUUUUUCAAAAAAGCAUGAAAGAAAUUUAAAAAGUGCUAAGUUAUGUUUAGUUCCGGGAAAUAACAAUAAAAGAAAAUUAAAAAAAUCAGAAGAAAAAUAAAAAUAUAUUUAAAAUCAAUAAAUACUACUUCAAGCUCAAUUAACUCUUUUAAACUUUUUUAUAUAAUGAAUAAUUUAAAAAUAUAUAAAUUACUGGUUAAUUUUAAUUAUAUAUAUAUAUUUUCAUAAUAAAAUCAUUCUUUGUUUCUUUACUUUGAUAUUUUCUCAAACCAAACAAGACAAGGAAAAUGAUUUUAUUGUUAUAUUUAAUUUAUUACAAAAAAUAAAUAAAUAAAAGUCAAAUGUAAUUAAAAUCAAAUUUAUAUAUUUUUCAAAAUAUUUAGUAUUUGUAUAAAAGAGUUGAAAUAAAAAAACAACUUUAAUAAUAAUAUAUAAAAAUAAUUUAUUAUUUUUAAAUUUAUUUUUUUAGUUCCAAUUCAUUUUUUUUUUUCAAUUUUCGUAGAACGCAACAUAACUUAAAGAUAAUUAUUUUUAAAAAAAUAAGGUAUUAAAAAAUUUUACUACAUAAAAAAUAGGAGUUAUUAUUUAAAAAAAAAAAAAAAAGGAAGUGCAUCCAAGUGAGAUGUACUUUGUUGCUACUAUCAAGACACCCACGAAAACAAGUUAAACACACAAAUUUCCAUAUCCAGAAAACCACAAAUGCAUAUGCACUAAUCAAGUUCAAGAAAUCAAAAUAACAAAAUUUCGAGGCUAGCAAUGUGAUAAGCUCCACAGUUUAGAUGCCAGAGAGAGUCUAUAACAAGGUUCAUAAUGAAAACAAACCAUUCUGAGCUCAUACUGAAGAUAACAAGUUCGGAGGAAACAAAAGGCAAGCAAGAGAUCCAAUGAAGAACUGCCGAAAUCAACGAUACCGACGAAGGGAGAGCGUGUUGUUCCUUUUCCAAGUGGCCCUGCGAGAAGGGCGUGCUUUGUGGUGCCGGUGACCCUUUCCACGGAGUCCUCUGUAUUUCUUUCCUGCAGAUGUGAGACCGCGAAGCUCCCUGUGUUUGUGCACAGGCUUGCAGAUCCAGUUGAUCCUUGGAUCAUUUCGAAUUGCAUUAUGGGCAGCAUCAACUAGGAUUAUCUCAUAGUAUUUGUAUGUAGAAUCCUGAAUGGAAAAUUUUCAGAGAAAUUAGCUACCGACUAGGAGCUCACAUAUGUGUAUGUGCCAGCAUCAUAUAUAUAUAUAUGAAAAAAAGACGAAUUGAGAGUUCCACGUGUGUGCGCGAGUGAGAGAGGGGGAGAUCAAUAAUUGAAAGUAGGAUUUCAUACUGCCUCUCUCAGCUGUUAACAACAUUUCUUUUUCUUGUUAUUUUAUGCUUUGACAAAAUCUAGCUACCAAGAGUAUUAUUAUAGCUCAAAACAUAACAUAGCCAGUUGGAAGGAGUAAGCAUGCACAAAAUAAACUGCACAACCAACCUCGUUUAUCCAGUACGAGUUGAGAACUUUCAGACCACCUAAUUUCCGACCAGCACGUUCUUCAGCAACUGACCUCUUGCUACGUUGGAACUUCAGCUGGGUGACACCCUGGUUUGUAGGCUUUCCAUAAACAAUGCCCUUGGGAACAGGCCUCUUCCGACCACCACGUCUAACACGAACACGAUAGAUAACAUACCCCUAAAAUAGAAAAUAGUGUUUGGCAUUAUAAUCAAAGUAAAAAGAAUCAUCGUCUUGAUGCUUAUCAAAUUAAUGGGCCAGUUUGUCAUAAUUUUAAACAAAUGGGGAAGUUUAUAAGCCACUGAAAUGAGCCUCAAAAAAAUGGUGGGGAAAGAAAACCCCAAGAAUGCUUUAAUCCAUCUUAGUUUUGAAUCAUUUUGCACUUCUAUGGGCAAUUUUAAAUUAUUAACUAAUGACAUGAUAAGAUAUCAAUUCAUGAUAUCUCUAUAUCCAAUACCCUGACAGGUGCAACUGGGUACCAAAAUCAAACAGACGGCUAAAAGCCUUUUUUCAAAAGAAAAAAACACUAUUGUAAACAUUAUGAUAACAAUUCACAUGCAGGCUUGACAAAGGAAACUCCAAUAAUUGGUCAAUCGUCAUCAUGUACACUAUGCUUGGACAAGUAAACUUGUGUCUUAAGAAUAGGCUCAUAUUCCAUCUCAACAAAACACAUUAGAACGGAUCUAAAUGUGUUUUUUCCCCUUUUCUUUGGUGGGUGGUAGGAGUUGUAACAAAUAUGCAUACCUUCCCUUUUAGGUAGGCUUGUACACAAGUAACUCAGAUGAUUGCAUUUCCAGUAGAAGCUACUACUAAGUAUCUUAAUACAUUUGGUUUAAUCUCAGCACCCAGCCUCAGCCAAGUUGAGACAACAAGCUAUAAGGCCAUAGUUUGAGGAAUAGUCCACCUAUUAAAAAUGGGUGCAUGAAUAACCAAACAAAUAGACACAUGAGUGCGUAUGGCCGUAAGUUAGCAGCAGUUCCACUUUUAAAUGGAAAAAGACAACAUUUGAAAGUAAUCUCAAGACACAACCUUACAAAUAAGGAUAUUUUCCUUAUUCCCCAUGGGUUUCUCCUCCUACUCAACAUCCAAAAACAAUAUUGAGAAGCAGAAAAGGAAAACCUAGCCUUGCAGGAACACAUGAAAGUGACAGAGAGAAUCGAUCUGCUUUCACUAAUUUCCAUUUUACACUACUUUUACAAAUUCCAGUGUUCAGGAGAGAUAGGAUGAUGAAUAGGAUAAGUCAUAAUACAAUCAAGAGAAUGAGGGAGGAAAGCUUAAAAGGGUAAUGCCGCAUAAAGAGAGUCAUGUAGUAAUUAAAAACCAGAAGGGAAAUAGAGAUUAUAGAACUAAUGAAUUUCCCCACUCCCUAGAAAGAAAUUUGUUUUUAUCAUUCAGAAAAUAGGGAGAUUACUUACCCACUAUAAAUAUCCCUUCAUUAGUAAACAAAGAUGUUUUGGAGAUAAGCAAAAGAAUUCAACUGUUUUUAAUAUGUCUGGGAGAACUGGAUCCAAAUAUCAAUCCUGUCUCCAAGAUUAUACGAACCCACAAAAUAAUGCUGUUGUCCCAAUGCCCUCCCAUGGAGGUAGACCUUCUGAUGGGGUAAAGCAUUUAAUGAUAAAUUUUCAAAACAAGGAGGUUUCGCAUAAGAGUGUCUGUAGCCUCUCGGCUCAAUUAGAAAAUAGAGCAAAACUCGAAACUUUAAAAUUGAAGCUGAAAUUGCCAACAUAUUAUAUUAUGUAUUUCUGGGAUCAUAUCACCAGCAAUCCUGCACUUUCUUUCAUGAUUGUGAUUUUAUAUUGUUUAUCCUUUACUUUGAACUUAUUUCAGGAUGGAAAAUUGAAAAAAAGCAAGUGAUUGCAGAAAGCAUAAGGUCUUGUAUCAGCUAAGACGUUCCGAACGAAGGCAGAACUGACAAUUUCUUAAUAUGUUCUAUGUAAAAUGGAGUUCUUACAUGAUCAAAGGCAACAAUGCUUAAACAGAAUACAUCAUGGUUAGAAUCAAUGUAUAGACCAGCUCAAUUCUUACCUGCUUUGCUUUAUACCCCAGACGGCGAGCCUUGUCAGGUCGUGUGGGCCUCGUAACACGAACAAUUGAAGGGUGUUGGCGAUACUCCCAGCACCUGACCCUCUGCAGAAACCUCAUAACAUCGGACUGCUUCUUUCUCCAUAAUUCAGAAACAUACAUGUAAGCCCC
rnacentral:lncRNA from 1 species